rnacentral:rRNA from 1 species
UUCGGGACAACUCUGGGAAACUGGAGCUAAUACCGGAUACGCCCUUUUGGGGAAAGGUUUACUGCCGAAGGAUCGGCCCGCGUCUGAUUAGCUAGUUGGUGGGGUAACGGCCUACCAAGGCGACGAUCAGUAGCUGGUCUGAGAGGAUGAUCAGCCACACUGGGACUGAGACACGGCCCAGACUCCUACGGGAGGCAGCAGUGGGGAAUAUUGGACAAUGGGCGCAAGCCUGAUCCAGCCAUGCCGCGUGAGUGAUGAAGGCCUUAGGGUUGUAAAGCUCUUUUAUCCGGGACGAUAAUGACGGUACCGGAGGAAUAAGCCCCGGCUAACUUCGUGCCAGCAGCCGCGGUAAUACGAAGGGGGCUAGCGUUGCUCGGAAUCACUGGGCGUAAAGGGCGCGUAGGCGGCGUUUUAAGUCGGGGGUGAAAGCCUGUGGCUCAACCACAGAAUGGCCUUCGAUACUGGGACGCUUGAGUCUGGUAGAGGUUGGUGGAACUGCGAGUGUAGAGG